GGAGUGACUGAGAGUAUAGAAGAUAUUGGAGGAUUACAGUGGCAGAUAGUCUUGUGUCUGCUGCUGACUUGGACCUUGACAUUCCUUUCUCUCAGCAAGGGUGUUAAAAGUGUUGGAAAGGUUGUUUACUUCACUGCUUUGUUCCCCUAUGUCGUCCUGACUAUUUUAUUUUUCCGUGGUGUGACCUUGGAUGGAGCAAAAGAUGGCAUAAUCUACUACCUCACUCCAAAGUUUGACAAGUUGAUAGUUGCAGAAACCUGGGUAAAGGCAGCCGUGCAGAUCUUCUUUGCUCUAAGUCCAGCUUGGGGCGGUCUCAUUACUUUAUCAAGUUACAAUAAAUUUCACAAUAACUGUUUCAAGGAUUCCCUGAUUGUUGGUGUGGGCAAUGUCUGCACCAGCAUUUAUGCUGGAUUUGUUAUCUUCAGUAUUGUGGGCUAUUUGGCUAAAGAGCUUGAAACACCAAUUGAUACAGUCGUGGAUGAAGGUAAGAGUCGAGUAGUUGUAUUGAACAUCUCUUGGGAUUCAGGGUUAGGGCUACAUAUCACUUUUUUAAAUCUACGAGGGCUAGAUGAACUUUGAUAUUUCUGUUUGGUGUGCCUUCAUGAUAUUGUCUAAGAAUUAACAAUUGUGCAUAUCAUUGUAGAGGCCUCUU
rnacentral:sRNA from 1 species